CUACGGGGCGCUCCAGUGGGGAAUAUUGCACAAUGGGCGCAAGCCUGAUGCAGCCAUGCCGCGUGUAUGAAGAAGGCCUUCGGGUUGUAAAGUACUUUCAGCGGGGAGGAAGGGAGUAAAGUUAAUACCUUUGCUCAUUGACGUUACCCGCAGAAGAAGCACCGGCUAACUCCGUGCCAGCAGCCGCGGUAAUACGGAGGGUGCAAGCGUUAAUCGGAAUUACUGGGCGUAAAGCGCACGCAGGCGGUUUGUUAAGUCAGAUGUGAAAUCCCCGGGCUCAACCUGGGAACGGCAUCUGAUACUGGCAAGCUUGAGUCUCGUAGAGGGGGGUAGAAUUCCAGGUGUAGCGGUGAAAUGCGUAGAGAUCUGGAGGAAUACCGGUGGCGAAGGCGGCCCCCUGGACGAAGACUGACGCUCAGGUGCGAAAGCGUGGGGAGCAAACAGGAUUAGAUACCCCGGUAGUC
rnacentral:rRNA from 1 species